rnacentral:rRNA from 1 species
UUGGAAACUGGAAUGAAUGGCUAGACGAGAGAAAUAGUGUCUCAAUGAAAAUUAAUGAAUUUUAUUUUUAAGUGAAAAAGCUUAAAUAAUUUUAAAAGACGAGAAGACCCUAUAGAGUUUAACAUUAAAUUUAUAAUAAAUAAUUAGUAUUUUUUGUUAUUAUAAAUAUUUUUGUUUAGCUGGGGUGGCUUUAAAAUUGAUUUAACUUUUAUUUAUAUAAACACUUAUUUGUGAUUAUUUGAUCCAUAUUUUUGAUUAUAAGAUUUAAUUACCUUAGGGAUAACAGCG